rnacentral:rRNA from 1 species
AUGGAGGCGGAGGCAAAGGCGACCUGGGCGGCGGCGCCUGGCUCGGGAGCGGCGACUGCCGACGGGGGCUUCCCUGUAGAUCCGGUGUGCAGGUUGCCAAUCUUCCCAGGCGUGGCGGUCUCGGCGGGUUCGGUCCAAGAUGAAGUCAGCGAUGGUGCUGGCUGGAGGAGACGUUGGGUUGUUGCCUCUUCUGUGGCUGCCCAUGACAGCUGUGCCGCCGGCGCUGCCGAAUGCAGUGGAGAGAGCGCCCCAGCGGAGUCGGGAGAGUCAGCUGUGAAACCUGAUCCGAAAUCUGUAGGCUGGAUAAGAAGGGUACGAGUGGGCGCAAAUCCGAUAGAGCGUAUGCCUUGCCCUGGCAGGAUGGGAGCGCUUGAGAAGACUAUCAGGGGCUUCGUGGACAGGGAGGGUGAUGAAGUAGUCAAGCCAGAGUUAGGGACCACUUUCGAUUCCCUGACAGAGGCUUAUGAUUUUUACAAUAUGUAUUCGUGGGAACAUGGCUUCGGCAUUAGAUACGGAAAAACCAGGCUAAAUCCUGAUAAGAGGAAGACCAUGUAG